AGUGAACGCUGGCGGCAGGCCUAACACAUGCAGGUCGAACGGCAGCACAGCAGUAGCAAUACUGUGGGUGGCGAGUGGCGGGACGGGUGAGGAAUACAUGGGAAUCUACCCUGUCGUGGGGGAUAACGUAGGGAAACUUACGCUAAUACCGCAUACGACCGAGAGGUGAAAGCGGCGGACCGCAAGGCGCCGCGCGACUGGAUGAGCCCAUGUCGGAUUAGCAGGUUGGGCGGGGUAAAGGCCCACCAAGGCGACGAUCCGUAGCUGGUCUGAGAGGAUGAUCAGCCACACUGGAACUGAGACACGGUCCAGACUCCUACGGGAGGCAGCAGUGGGGAAUUAUUGGACAAGUGGGCGCAAGCCUGAUCCAGCCAUGCCGCGUGUGU
rnacentral:rRNA from 1 species